UUAUAUGAACUGAUUUUAACUGUUGAACCGUGUGAACCUUUUGUAUCUGUUGACAAGAUUUACAUUUGACAAUAGACAUUGGACUAUACAUAAACAUUUCUACAAUUGUUAAACAUUACAUCUUGAUGGUUUGGUUUGAGUAAGUGAUUUAAGUAACGAGGCGUGUGUAAUAUGAUACAAGCAUUGUGGAUACGCCGCUGGUACUUCCUAUAUAUAAGUCAUAUGAACACAUUAUAUUACAUUUUGAACCGUUGUAACCAUUUGACCAUGUGAACCGUCGUAACCGUUUGAUUAGAUGAACUGAUUUUAACUGUUGAACCGUGUGAACCUUUUGUAUCUGUU
rnacentral:lncRNA from 1 species